rnacentral:rRNA from 1 species
UACGUAGGGUGCAAGCGUUGUCCGGAAUCAUUGGGCGUAAAGCGCGCGUAGGCGGCCCGAUAAGUCCGCUGUAAAAGUCAACGGCUCAACUGUUGAAAGCCGGUGGAUACUGUCGGGCUAGAGUACGGAAGAGGCAAGUGGAAUUCCUGGUGUAGCGGUGGAAUGCGCAGAUAUCGGGAGGAACACCAGUGGCGAAGGCGACUUCCUGGCCUGUUCUUGACGCUGAGGCGCGAAAGCUAGGGGAGCAAACGGG